CCCUGAGGUAUGGGGUGACCUUGGGCAGGUACACUGGGGUGCAGGGAGGAGCAGAGUCCUGUGACUGUCAUCUAUGUCUGAUGUGCCUUGAGAAGCACUGGGGGAUACAGCCUGUCAUGGUUAGAACAGAUCAGUUUUACCAGCUCACUGGACUCUAGAACACCAAGCUGCUUCCUGAGAGACAAGAAAGACCCUAGCCCUGGGUGAUGAGUCCCAGAGUGCUCUCUCUCCUGGGUUCAGCUCCCCUUGAAGAAGGCCCUCAGCUCUUGUUUGCUUGGAAGAGUGAGGUAGUAGGAUGCCUGGGUAUACAGGGUGCGCAGAGUGCAGCUGGGACUGGAUGGGGGCAGACGGGGUAAGACCCUCUACUGCAUGACCACUCUUGGGUUUGCUCAGCACACUUAGCUACCAGGUGGUAGAAUCUUGGGUAUGGUAAGUACAGGCAAAGCUUGUACAGGCCUAGGAUGGGUGAAGGGUAGAGGGAUGUGGUCUCUCCUCCAUCUUCCAUUCCCUGGAGCUCUGGUACUUUGGUCCUGGGAACCCAAACUGGUAAGGUCUGGCCAGAAACUUCAACACAUGACAACAGUGACUUCCAUCAUUUGAAAGCAAGAGAGGGCAAGCUCAAGAAAGACUUCCACAGAAGAGACCGUGAUAAGGGGGCCUUCAGAAUGUUGAUGGAGGGAAGGUAGUGACUUCAUCUACAAAGGUACCCAUUCCAGCUACCAGGAUGUUUCUGGGCCUAGCACAGCGACAGGAGAGUUGGCUCUGCACAGGGGCCACCAAAUUUGGCCUCUGGUGACCUUCAAAGUCCUACUGUCACCUAGCCUUCCAGGACAUACAUAUUGGCCUGGCCUCUGCCCGGGCCAGGCUGCCCCGCAGCAGACCUGAAGCUCUGAAUUGUGUGUCUAGGAGUGACCAUGCAUGAGGAACCAAGAAGCAUAUGAGCUAGGACUCCUAGUGCUGCCCCUGGUGGCUCUGUGUUUGCUGCUCAGGCAGGAGCUGUUGGGAGCCAUCCUGAGAGCGUGAGGCCAGCCUGGGAGAGGGGAAGCAGAGUGCAAGUUGGAGGAUGAGCAGGUCAGCGUGGGGGCUGCAGGAGAGCUGUGCAGGUCAGCGUGGGGGCUGCAGGAGAGUUGUGCAGGUCAGCGUGGGGGCUGCAGGAGAGCUGUGGCAAUUGGGACAGGGUUAGGGAGCUGAUAGAGACCCUGACUCCUGACCUCCCAAGGAGGUAGGAGCCUUGGAAAGGAUCUCAGCAAUAAAGAACUGGGGAUGGGGAAUGGUGGGGCCAAGACCAGAGUGGGGAGCCUCAUGUAGAAACUGAUCCUCCUCAGAGAGAUGGGGGCAGGGAGCAGCAGGAGGGUUCCCCUAGGACUUGUGCAUGCAAAAGGGGCUGUGGCCACCUAAGGAAGAGAUGAGGUACUGUCAAGUCCUGGAUGACAGAGUAAGCAGGGCUGAGGGGUGGGCUGGGUUGGGCUGCAGGCAGUAGGGGUUGGGAGUCAGGGAAGGAACUUGUGGAGCUACCCGGAUGUUGGAAGACAGAUGGGCACCCACCAUGGAUGGUCAGGGCCAGAUGUGAGUGAGUCAGAAGGGUGCAGGCAACUCUGACAUGGCUUUUGGUAGAAAUGGCCUAGAGGGAAGAGGGUCCUGCCAGCUUUGGAAGUAGAGCAGAAUGGUCCCUCUCCUGUGACUCAGCCGGAAGCAGGUUUCUGUGCCACCUACCGUCAGGCCCCACUGCCCUGCUUCCUACUUCCUCCCAGUGGUCCCCGGGCAGCCUCUUGGACUCUUGUACCUUUUGUCCCUGACAAUGACAGCACCAUUUCUACCAGGCCCCUCCUGCAGGAGCUCCCGUUGUUGGGCUGGCUGCCCUACUUUUUGCCUGGGAUGGAGCUGCAUUGUCUUUCUGGUCUAAUGGGGGACAAAGGAGAGGCUACUGGGAAAGGAUGCCCUGGCACAGUGGAGACACUCGCCAUGUAGAGUGUAGAAGCCAGCAGCUUUGUUCUGUGAGAGUGGCCUGGUUAAGUGGAUGAGUGACUGGCUGUCUGGUGGUUUCCCUCCAUGUCAGCUCCCCCGGGCUGACCCCCAGAGUGACAGGAGGGUAUGGGGUGGCAGGCUGUAGCUACAGCUAACCUGCCCCAGUUUUUUGCUGUGAUAAACACCAUGAACCAAGGCAGCCUGGGAAGGAGGGCUGUAGCUAGCUUACACGUUACAGUCCAUUGCUGACGGAAACCAAUGCUGGAAAUUAAGGCAGGAACUUGGAGGCAGGAACUGAAGUAGACUAUGGAGGAAUGCGGCUUGCUGGCUGGCUUUCCAUGGCUUGCUUAGCUACCUUUUUCAUACAUCCCAGGACCACCUACUCAGGGAUGGCACCACCCACACUGAGCUGGGCCUUGGCCCUCCCACAUAAAUCA